AGCACGCACGCAACCUCUCCCUUUCCUCGUUUUACCUUCCCACGGGUGGGUAGCUAGGGUUGCCGCCGCCGCCCCAUCGGCCCAUACCAACUCCUCCGGCGCCGUCCACGGGAGAAGGCACCUCCUCAGAUUCGCUUCUCUUCCAAACCUUCUCGCCUUAGCGUUCCACAUCGUCGCCAUGAUGGUUGCAGAUGAGGGGGAGGAAGGGGAUGCCAUCGAGGUGCCGACGAGGACAGAGGAGGGAGAAUCAGGUGAGGGCGGGUGCGAGAUCGCCGUAUCCCUGGCGAUCGGCGCCGUGCGGCGCCGGACUUCGCUGCGCUGGUGUCGCUCUACCCCUCCUUCGCCUCCUUUGUCACCGUGCCCGCGGGAGGCCGCCCGUCCGUUGACUUCGCCGCCACGCGAGAGCUCACACACGUCCUCCUCCUCGACGACCACGGCCUCAACUGCUUCAGGUUGCUGGCACCUAGGAGGGACGGGACAGCAAAAUCGGUGCUCAUCGAAGAUGGCGUUGGUACCACUUACCCGACAACACAGUUCUGCGGAAGCUUUUUCGUAUACCAAGACACUUCUCCGUACAUGAUGGAUACACACGCACGGAGUGAGCUUUUCUCUGCGGUUCUGGUGACCUGCGCACAGGGUCUCUGUUCCAUGAUGUUGCCAACGAGCAAGACGUGGAGACCGAUCAUGAGCCUCUCCUUUGACAUCAAAUUGUGUUCCAUCGAAAAAGCUUGGGUAUUCUUAUUCCAUCAAUUUUUGGAUGAUUGUCAAAAUCCCAUGAUAUGAUUUAGAACCUGACAUUAUAUUUUAUUGUAUGAUACAACUGUCUAAUACUCAUAAUGUGAGGGACACAGGAAGAGUAUUGGUCGCCGGCGAUGAAAGCAUUGGUUGGGGGGAGGCAUCGAUGUGAUAUUGAUGCCAAGGUGGGCUUUCCCAAUCUUGCUCUUUUUGUUGGGCGAUUCUGAUGCGGGUUCUUGAUUUAAUAUGUGAGUUGGGUAGUCUCGCGUCUACUCAUGUGAUCUUACUUUAUCAGAUUCUUCUUAGUUUAUGUUUUUGAUUCAAUCGUGCAUUUGUGGUACUUGAAGCGAUUGGUUAUUCCGCUUUAGUGUUGUGGAUCUGAUAGUCUGAACUUAAAAGUGAGGAGUUUUUUAAUGCAAACUUAUCAUCUAAAGAUCCUUUGGUUUUAAUGUGGCCCCUGACUGAUGAACUCUUGGUCCGCAAAUUAGAGUUAUUUAGCAGUUGAUUACAAGUCAUUGGUAGUGUAGUCUGUAGUGUAGUGUAGUGUUUUAACUUGAUGCUGUUGGUUUCCACAAAAAAAAGAUGGAAAACUAGCCAACAGGUCGGUCUCAGUACUAUUGAGCUGCUCGCAUGCAGUUUUGUGUGUGACAGUGGUAGUGCAAAGCCAGCAUCGUUUUUGUUUGGCACUAUAAAACAAUGAUAUCUUGAUGCUGAAGCAUUAUAUUGUUGUUUAAAUGAUACUAGGAUGGAUGCUGCUUAGUUGCCAAUUUGUCACUUGUGAAGAUUUUCACAUGCCGUAGUUUGGUAACAGGGGAUAUAAAACAUGUGGAUUUUUUAGCAUGUCGUAGUUGAUGACAGGGUAUAUGGUGAACUGACCACCUGCCUAUGCACAUAUUCGUUCACCCGGAGACCAUCGAUUGGUUUAUGAUAGUUUAUGCAAAAUGUAUCGUGCAUGUUCACAGAUUUUAUCCUAGGCCGUGUACCAAAAAAAUAGAGGUGACUUCAUCUUAAUCCGCCCCUCGCCACUUUGCACUUCAGGUGUUUAUAUACCUUUUCUCCUUAUCACGCCAUUUGUUGUUUUUCUUUGCACAUCUCAGCUUCACUGUUUUAGGUUAGGCACGACGAACAACAAGGAAAGCAUUCUGACCCACAGAGUGAAGUGUUUGCAAGCAAAUAUUUAAUGCAUACAAUUUGUUUCAAAUUACUUGUGAUUUCGAUGAUUUGACAAGUACAAACGUCUGGCGUUCUGCCUUUUGAUAUAACAUGUUAGGUCCUUAUUCGCUUCAUAUCCAUACGGGAGGGUAACACAUACUGAAAAUGUUAACCGUUCACCAAAAAUAUCUGUGACUCGAUACAUGUAUCCAAACUAAAUAGUUGUUUUCAUGCCGUCUAGAUUGUACUAAAUAUACUAAUAAUCAAUAUGCAAUUUUGGGCAAGGCCUAAAUGCUAUUAUAAAAUAUGAAAUGAUACCAUACAUGGUAUCUGAAUUUGGAAAUGAACCAGCAGAUCCACUUAUUCAAGUUUCAAUUUUUUCUUCUUUAGCUUUGCAUUUGCAAUUGAUGGUGUUACAGAAAACGGCCUCGAGCUUUUUGGACUACCUACUUGUGUAUAAAAGUUUUAGUCAAAGCUUAAAUUAUUAUAUUUUAAGGUUGUAGAGGUUGUAUGUUACGCCGGCUAAGACUAAAGAUUGUAAAUUCAUUGUUUAUCUUACCAGCGUUGUUCUCUUUGAAGAUAAUUGUAGAAACUAUAUUAUCAGUUCAUUGCUACUUUGUAUGUGACUUAUGCUAUCCUCAUAUAUGUGCUACUUUGUAUGUGACUUGUGCUAUCCUCAUAUAUGUCAAUACUGUAAUAUGAGCGUCUUGGUCCUUCUUAUACAACUUUUCUUGUUAUGCUCUCCAUCAGCCUCCUUUGCUCCCAUUGCUGUUGUCUGAUGUACAUUUUUUUGUUUUUAAGCAAAUUUGUCUUUUAGUUCUGAUUUUAUCUCCAUCCUCAAAUGUAACUUUGGUUUUCAGUUGAUCUGUCAACCAAAUUUCUUUUGACGGGAAGGCCUUAUGGCUAGCUUUAUUAAACUCAAAUCAAAAUUACGUCCUCUGCGAGAGGUCUCAGAAUAAACUCAGGCGGAGCCUCUAACCAUUGAGCAGGGUUAUUAGCACUACCCCAUCUAGCUAGCUCAUGUGCUACCACAUUUCAUAUAAUGUCAUAAUUUGUGCUGAUGUUCUGCAUAUCUGAGAAAGAAGAUAGUAUGAUAAGGCUAAAGGAGAAUUAUGGUGGAAAGCUUUCUUUUCUCUUGUUUGUGUGAUCCAGCUCUACAUCUAUGCUAACUUAUUGCCAUCUUCAUUUGAAGAUGAAGUUAACCAGUCCAUUAUUAUUCCUCUGAUUCAUUGGUUGUUCUAUGCCGAGAUCUUGCCCCAUCCCUGAGCUUGUUGAUUUUUUAGGGUUCUUAUGAAUCGUGCUCGUCGUUCAGUUCUGCAAUCCACCUUUAUUAAUGCAGUUACUUUUUGGGGCAUAUCUUCCUGCAUCUAAACGCCCUAUGUGUGUGUGUGUGUGUGUGUGUGUGUGAGCGAGCAAGCAGAUAGACGAGGAGGCCGAGCCAUCCUCGACAACAUCGUCACCGUCAGACCGAGGGCGCCGUGAGCAACCUGAGCCAUUAUCACCUUGUGGCGCCACCUAAGAGGAGUUGAGGCAAUGCCAGGUGGAAGACCGAGGGCGUCUGGAUGAAGCGAACGUGGCCAGUUCUUUUUGUCUCUAGCUAAGACGAUAUGGCGCCGAAACUUCAGAUUUUUGGUUUAUAAGUGCCGAGCAUAACUAUCCAUGGUGGUAUAUAUACAAUAGACAGACGUGUUAGGCUUCAAAACUGAAUGCAAUGAACCUAAUUACGGUAAUCCUUCUUUGCUGUUAACAGAUUGUACUAACCUCAUAAUUUCU